CCUACGGGAGGCUGCAGUGAGGAAUAUUGGUCAAUGGGCGCAAGCCUGAACCAGCCACGUAGCGUGAAGGAUGACUGCCCUCCGGAUUGUAAACUUCUUUUAUAAAGGAGUAAAGUGAGGCACGUGUGCCUUUUUGUAUGUACUUUAUGAAUACGGAUCGGCUAACUCCGUGCCAGCAGCCGCGGUAAUACGGAGGAUCCGAGCGUUAUCCGGAUUUAUUGGGUUUAAAGGGAGCGUAGAUGGGUUGUUAAGUCAGUUGUGAAAGUUUGCGGCUCAACCGUAAAAUUGCAAUUGAUACUGGCAGUCUUGAGUACAGUUGAGGUAGGCGGAAUUCGUGGUGUAGCGGUGAAAUGCUUAGAUAUCACGAAGAACUCCGAUUGCGAAGGCAGCGUACUAAACUGCGACUGACAUUGAUGCUCGAAAGUGUGGGUAUCAAACAGGAUUAGAGACCCGAGUAGUC
rnacentral:rRNA from 1 species